rnacentral:rRNA from 1 species
AGGAGAGUUUGAUCCUGGCUCAGGAUGAACGCACAAGACGUGCCUAACACAUGCAAAUCGAAUGAAAAUAAUUAUUUAUUGUUUUCAUGGUGAACGGGUGAGUAAUACAUAAGAAUCAGCUUUUAGAUAAGGCAUAAAAGAGUAAUAUCUUGGUAAUUCCUUAUAUGCGCAGUAGUGCUUAAAAAGGGUAGUCCCGUCUAAAAACGAGCUUAUGCCUGAUUAGCUAGUUGGCGAGUUAAAAGCUCACCAAGGCGAAGAUCAGUAGCUGGCCUGAGAGGGCGGCCAGCCACAUUGGGACUGAGACACGGCCCAAACUCCUACGGGAGGCAGCAGUGGGGAAUCUUCUGCAAUGGGCGCAAGCCUGACAGAGCGGCGUCGUGUGAAGGAAGAAGGCCUUAAAUAGGUUGUAAACUUCUUUUACUGAGUAAUGAAUAAUGACAACGCAGUAAAAAAGUAUCGGCUAACUCCGUGCCAGCAGCCGCGGUAAUACGGGGGAUGCAAGCGUUAUCCGGAAUAACUGGGCGUAAAGCGUCUGUAGGUGGUUUAGUGUGUUCUUAGUUAAAUUAUGAAGCCUAACUUCAUGAAAAGUAAGAAAACUAUUAGACUUGAGUACGAUAGGGGUAAGAGGA